UAUCAGCCUUUUGGGUGCGAUUCUGUGGGGUUUGAGGAGUUUAACACCUUCAUGCUUUGCAUAUUCGUGCUCUUGGGUGUACUUGCCCGUAUGGUUGGUUAACAUCAAUUUUGGUGGUCAUAAAAUGACUGGAGGAAUGUAGCUUCGAUCUCGUAUUGAAGUGUUAUAGCCUUCGGUAGAUGUGAUGAUCGAGAUUGAGGAUUGCAACGGAUACCCUUCGGGGCUACCUGUCUGAUCUCUGAUCGUUGCUCUGGUGCCGAAAGCUUGCUUACGGUUAUCAAAGUCGAUGGUCAAUAGGUUAGAACGGGUUAAA
rnacentral:rRNA from 1 species